rnacentral:rRNA from 1 species
CCGGGCGGCAGUAGCGCGGUGGUCCCACCUGACCCCAUGCCGAACUCAGAAGUGAAACGCCGUAGCGCCGAUGGUAGUGUGGGGUCUCCCCAUGCGAGAGUAGGGAACUGCCAGGC